AGGGAAUUUUCCGCAAUGGGCGAAAGCCUGACGGAGCAACGCCGCGUGAGUGAAGACGGCCUUCGGGUUGUAAAACUCUGUUCUUGGGGAAGAAGAAAGUGACGGUACCCAAGGAGAAAGCCCCGGCUAACUACGUGCCAGCAGCCGCGGUAAUACGUAGGGGGCGAGCGUUAUCCGGAUUUAUUGGGCGUAAAGCGCGCGCAGGCGGUUAAGUAAGUCGGAUGUGAAAGGCUACGGCUCAACCGUAGAGCGGCAUCCGAAACUGCUUGACUUGAGUGCAGGAGAGGAGAGCGGAAUUCCCGGUGUAGCGGUGGAAUGCGUAGAGAUCGGGAGGAACACCAGUGGCGAAGGCGGCUCUCUGGACUGUAACUGACGCUGAGGCGCGAAAGCGUGGGGAGCAAAC
rnacentral:rRNA from 1 species